ensembl:lncRNA
ACAAGCUCCACUAGACAGUGGACAGUGAAUUGGGGUUUUGUUAAAUUCAGGUUAUGCACAGAGAGGUUUCAUGAAGUGUUCCGUAUAUUUUGCAUCCCGGCACUCCAUAAUUGGAGUAUGACUUCAGAUGGUGGCAUUUAAACUGUCUGGGAAAACAGUCAAAACAAACAGCAAAUAGUUUCACAUUCCAGCAUAAUUGGAAAAAAUAAGAGUCCCUGCUGGAGUGCUGCAGCUCCCGGAAGCUUAAUUUGGGAUAGCUGCUGAGAGCCGUAAGAGUACAGGCUGGCCAUGUUGUCAGCGGGUUUUCUUUGGAAUGCCCCCACGUUCUGACCUGAAACCCCAGCAGCCCACCUGAACAGCAGCUGUGCCAGUUUUCCAGAUACACCGAUGGGUUUUUAACUCAAGUAACCCACAAGAAAUGGUGCUGGUUCUCGGUAUACCUCUAAGCAAAAUUUCCACUGAUUUCAGAGCCAAACGAUGACACAACCUGCCGUCAAAUAAACAUGCCAAAUCACAUCUUUGUUUAUGAGGGUUGUGAGUUUUGAGAUCAUAUUUUAACAUCCAGCUGUCUAAGCUGCUUUUGAUGCAACGGU